AUGCAAGGCAAACAGAAUCUGUGCAGUUUGCGUGUAUAUAUUGAUUCAGUAAAUGUGCCACAGAAACACAGCAUUUCAUAUGUCUCAUCAUUCUACGCAGGUCCUCCUGGACCCCCAGGGAAUCAAGGACCAGGUGCAAAAGGAGAACCUGGGGUCGCAGGACCUCGUGGAGAAAAAGGUGACACUGGGAACAUUGGUCAAAAAGGAGAGCGUGGAAUUGUUGGUCUUCCUGGACAAAAAGGAAAUGUUGGUCCACCUGGAAUUCCAGGUCAGUUGUGUAACAGUCACAUGAAUGAACUGAUACUAUCACUGUCAUGCAUUUUACAAAGAGGGUGAAGUCUGAAACAGGGGUGUGGCUAAAGUUUACAGGCAGAAAUCAGUUGCAGAAAUCAAUUUGACACUCAUCAAUGUAAUGUAUGUCAAAAUGUUGCCAUUGGUCUAUUCAAGUUAUGCAGUAGCCAAGUGGUAUGUUAGCCACCAGUAGCAUAGUAAUAAAGUGUCAGGGACUCGAAGCA
rnacentral:lncRNA from 1 species